GGCGGCAGGCCUAACACAUGCAAGUCGAGCGGUAGCACAGAGAGCUUGCUCUCGGGUGACGAGCGGCGGACGGGUGAGUAAUGUCUGGGAAACUGCCUGAUGGAGGGGGAUAACUACUGGAAACGGUAGCUAAUACCGCAUAACGUCGCAAGACCAAAGUGGGGGACCUUCGGGCCUCAUGCCAUCAGAUGUGCCCAGAUGGGAUUAGCUAGUAGGUGGGGUAAUGGCUCACCUAGGCGACGAUCCCUAGCUGGUCUGAGAGGAUGACCAGCCACACUGGAACUGAGACACGGUCCAGACUCCUACGGGAGGCAGCAGUGGGGAAUAUUGCACAAUGGGCGCAAGCCUGAUGCAGCCAUGCCGCGUGUGUGAAGAAGGCCUUCGGGUUGUAAAGCACUUUCAGCGGGGAGGAAGGCGUUAAGGUUAAUAACCUUGGCGAUUGACGUUACCCGCAGAAGAAGCACCGGCUAACUCCGUGCCAGCAGCCGCGGUAAUACGGAGGGUGCAAGCGUUAAUCGGAAUUACUGGGCGUAAAGCGCUCGCAGGCGGUCUGUCAAGUCGGAUGUGAAAUCCCCGGGCUCAACCUGGGAACUGCAUUCGAAACUGGCAGGCUAGAGUCUUGUAGAGGGGGGUAGAAUUCCAGGUGUAGCGGUGAAAUGCGUAGAGAUCUGGAGGAAUACCGGUGGCGAAGGCGGCCCCCUGGACAAAGACUGACGCUCAGGUGCGAAAGCGUGGGGAGCAAACAGGAUUAGAUACCCUGGUAGUCCACGCCGUAAACGAUGUCGAUUUGGAGGUUGUGCCCUUGAGGCGUGGCUUCCGGAGCUAACGCGUUAAAUCGACCGCCUGGGGAGUACGGCCGCAAGGUUAAAACUCAAAUGAAUUGACGGGGGCCCGCACAAGCGGUGGAGCAUGUGGUUUAAUUCGAUGCAGCGCGAAGAACCUUACCUGGUCUUGACAUCCACAGAACUUAGCAGAGAUGCUUUGGUGCCUUCGGGAACUGUGAGACAGGUGCUGCAUGGCUGUCGUCAGCUCGUGUUGUGAAAUGUUGGGUUAAGUCCCGCAACGAGCGCAACCCUUAUCCUUUGUUGCCAGCGGUUAGGCCGGGAACUCAAAGGAGACUGCCAGUGAUAAACUGGAGGAAGGUGGGGAUGACGUCAAGUCAUCAUGGCCCUUACGACCAGGGCUACACACGUGCUACAAUGGCAUAUACAAAGAGAAGCGACCUCGCGAGAGCAAGCGGACCUCAUAAAGUAUGUCGUAGUCCGGAUUGGAGUCUGCAACUCGACUCCAUGAAGUCGGAAUCGCUAGUAAUCGUAGAUCAGAAUGCUACGGUGAAUACGUUCCCGGGCCUUGUACACACCGCCCGUCACACCAUGGGAGUGGGUUGCAAAAGAAGUAGGUAGCUUAACCUUCGGGAGGGCGCUUACCACUUUGUGAUUCAUGACUGGGGUGAAAU
rnacentral:rRNA from 1 species